CCUGAGGCAGUGUACCUAGUGGACAUCUUCAGACCACAUUGAAGCACCAGCCAACCUCUCCCACAAGAGACACACUCAAGGGGUGGACUCAGCAGGCACCAGAGACCUUCUGAAGAACAAAGCACUUGAUGAAGUGCAAUGUGGAUCCCUUAAAAGAGGCAGAUGCAUGAAGUUUGGAGAAGUAAAUAAACUUGGAAUUUUGCAGUACAGAGAAAAAGGAGUAAAAGAGGAAGAGAAAAAGCAA